rnacentral:misc_RNA from 1 species
UUCAGUUGCAAGGUUUAUACAGAAUGGUGGUUCAUUUGUAAACUAUUAUAUGUACCAGGGAGGAACUAAUUUUGGCCGGACUGCUGGCGGUCCCUUCAUUGCUACUAGCUAUGAUUAUGAUGCCCCUAUUGAUGAAUAUGGUAUGUAAUGUAGAGUAGGUUGGGAUAACGUCCUCAUAAUUAUCAUUAAUUAUGCAUAUUAAUGGCUCUACCUACUAAACAGGAGUAUAAUACGUAUUUAGAGCAAGGUAUAGUUCAGCUGGCAGCAACUGAAAGUGUUGGCUAAAUACAUAUCAGGACAAAACCAUAGAUGCAAAUGAAUAUGUAGCCCAAGUGAGCUGAUUAAAAUUACUAUUUUUAUGCCAGGACUAACAAGGGAUCCAAAGUGGGGACACUUGAGAGAUUUGCAUAAAGCCAUUAAGUUAUGUGAACCUGCUUUAGUCUCUGCAGAUCCCACAGUAACAUCACUUGGGAGUAAUCAAGAGGCUCAUGUGUUCAAGUCAAAGUCAUCCUGUGCAGCCUUCCUUGCAAACUAUGACACUAAAUACUCUGUGAAAGUGACUUUUGGCAGUGGGCAAUAUGACCUCCCACCUUGGUCUAUCAGCAUUCUUCCUGAUUGUAAAACUGCAGUUUUUAACACUGCAAGGCUUGGUGCCCAAAGCACACAAAUGAAGAUGACACCUGUUGGCAGUGCAUUUUCUUGGCAAUCAUACAUUGAAGAAGCUGCUUCUUCUUAUACUGAUGAUACAACUAGACUGGAUGGAUUGUUGGAGCAAAUAAAUAUCACGAGGGAUGCUACAGACUAUCUGUGGUAUAUGACAGACGUCAAGAUAGAUCCCGAUGAAGGAUUUUUGAGAAGUGGACAGGAUCCCAUCCUCACAAUAUUUUCAGCUGGGCAUUCUUUGCAAGUUUUCAUCAAUGGUCAACUCUCAGGAACUGUGUAUGGGUCAUUAAACGAUCCUAAGUUAACAUUUAGCCAGAAUGUGAAGUUGAUAGCUGGUAUUAACAAGAUUUCUUUGUUAAGUGCUGCCGUAGGUCUACCGAAUGUUGGCCUGCACUUUGAAAGCUGGAAUGCUGGAGUUCUAGGCCCAGUCACAUUGAAGGGUUUAAAUGAGGGGACAAGGGACUUAUCAGGGUGGAACUGGUCUUACAAGAUUGGUCUUAAAGGUGAAGAAUUAAACCUUCAUACUGUUACUGGGAGUUCAUCUGUUGAUUGGAUGGAAGGAACUGUAUUGGCUAAAAAACAACCAUUAACAUGGUACAAGACUACUUUUGAUGCACCAGAAGGCAAUGAGCCCUUAGCUUUAGAUAUGAGUAGUAUGGGAAAAGGUCAGGUAUGGGUAAAUGGUCGAAGUGUAGGACGCCACUGGCCUGGAUAUAUAGCUCGUGGUAGUUGUGGCGAUUGUAACUAUGCUGGAACUUUUGAUGAUAAGAAAUGCAGAAGUAAUUGUGGAGAGCCCUCCCAAAGAUGGUACCAUGUUCCACGCUCAUGGCUGAACCCAAGUGGGAACCUAUUGGUUGUGUUUGAAGAAUGGGGU